rnacentral:rRNA from 1 species
UACGUAGGGCGCAAGCGUUGUCCGGAAUUAUUGGGCGUAAAGAGCUCGUAGGCGGUUUGUCGCGUCUGCUGUGAAAACCUAAGGCUCAACCUUGGGCUUGCAGUGGGUACGGGCAGACUAGAGUGCGGUAGGGGUGACUGGAAUUCCUGGUGUAGCGGUGGAAUGCGCAGAUAUCAGGAGGAACACCGAUGGCGAAGGCAGGUCACUGGGCCGCAACUGACGCUGGAGGAGCGGAAAG